rnacentral:sRNA from 1 species
CCAUGGAAUCAAUCAAAUUAAAUCAUCAUGACUACAUUGAUUCCCCAUCGCUGAAGGACAGAAUUCAUUGUGUGGCAUUUGUAUUUGAUGCCAGCUCUAUUGAAUACUUCUCCUCUCAGAUGAUAGUAAAGAUCAAAAGAAUUCGAAGGGAGUUGGUAAACGCUGGUGUGGUACAUGUGGCUUUGCUCACUCAUGUGGAUAGCAUGGAUCUGAUUACAAAAGGUGACCUUAUAGAAAUAGAGAGAUGUGUGCCUGUGAGGUCCAAGGUAAUGAAUGAUGCCCUUCGUAAACACAUUUUCUGGGCUAGAGGAAGUCCAAAGAAAACUUGGAUUUGCUCUUUCUGACAUCUCGGUGGUUAGCAAUUAUUCCUCUGAGUGGGAGCUGGACCCUGUAAAGGAUGUUCUAAUUCUUUCUGCUCUGAGACGAAUGCUAUGGGCUGCAGAUGACUUCUUAGAGGAUUUGCCUUUUGAGCAAAUAGGGAAUCUAAGGGAGGAAAUUAUCAACUGUGCACAAGGAAAAAAAUAGAUAUGUGAAAGGUUCACGUAAAUUUCCUCACAUCACAGAAGAUUAAAAUUCAGAAAGGAGAAAACACAGACCAAAGAGAAGUAACU